ensembl:lncRNA
ACACACACACACACACAUAGCUGCACCACUUGUGCUUCUCUAUUCAACAGCCGAUUGGGGAAUCUUGUCCUAAUGGGACCUCCGGUUAGCAGAGCAGUCUGCUCACAGGAACUGAGGUGAUCCGAGGUCCAAGGAGGGAGCGUGAAGCUUAAUCACACGUCUAGGAUGACAGCUACGUGUCAUCUGACCAAACCACUGACAACAACAGAUGUUCCAGCAGAGGAACAUCAAGGAGGAGAAAGCUGAGAUCAUUAUUCAAUGCAAGUGAAUCCACACGACAACAAGUGGAGAGAUGGUGUCCAUUUAUGGAGGGAGAGUAAACUAUGAAGGGCAGGGUCUCAACCAUUGACCCACUGGUUAUGUUCUCCUCCUCAACAUGUGUUGUCAACUUGAAACAUCACUGUGGCACCGCCACAUAUAGA